rnacentral:rRNA from 1 species
AACACGUGAGUAACCUGCCCUUGACUUCGGGAUAACUCCGGGAAACCGGGGCUAAUACCGGAUAUGAGCCGCCYUCGCAUGGGGGUGGUUGGAAAGUUUUUCGGUCAGGGAUGGGCUCGCGGCCUAUCAGCUUGUUGGUGGGGUGAUGGCCUACCAAGGCGACGACGGGUAGCCGGCCUGAGAGGGCGACCGGCCACACUGGGACUGAGACACGGCCCAGACUCCUACGGGAGGCAGCAGUGGGGAAUAUUGCACAAUGGGCGAAAGCCUGAUGCAGCGACGCCGCGUGAGGGAUGAAGGCCUUCGGGUUGUAAACCUCUUUCAGCAGGGAAGAAGCGCAAGUGACGGUACCUGCAGAAGAAGCGCCGGCUAACUACGUGCCAGCAGCCGCGGUAAUACGUAGGGCGCAAGCGUUGUCCGGAAUUAUUGGGCGUAAAGAGCUCGUAGGCGGUUUGUCGCGUCUGGUGUGAAAACUCGAGGCUCAACCUCGAGCUUGCAUCGGGUACGGGCAGACUAGAGUGCGGUAGGGGAGACUGGAAUUCCUGGUGUAGCGGUGGAAUGCGCAGAUAUCAGGAGGAACACCGAUGGCGAAAGGCAGGUCUCUGGGCCGCAACUGACGCUGAGGAGCGAAAGCAUGGGGAGCGAACAGGAUUAGAUACCCUGGUAGUCCAUGCCGUAAACGUUGGGCACUAGGUGUGGGGCUCAUUCCACGAGUUCCGUGCCGCAGCAAACGCAUUAAGUGCCCCGCCUGGGGAGUACGGCCGCAAGGCUAAAACUCAAAGGAAUUGACGGGGGCCCGCACAAGCGGCGGAGCAUGCGGAUUAAUUCGAUGCAACGCGAAGAACCUUACCAAGGCUUGACAUGCACGAGAAGCCACCAGAGAUGGUGGUCUCUUUGGACACUCGUGCACAGGUGGUGCAUGGUUGUCGUCAGCUCGUGUCGUGAGAUGUUGGGUUAAGUCCCGCAACGAGCGCAACCCUCGUCCCAUGUUGCCAGCGGGUUAUGCCGGGGACUCAUGGGAGACUGCCGGGGUCAACUCGGAGGAAGGUGGGGAUGACGUCAAAUCAUCAUGCCCCUUAUGUCUUGGGCUUCACGCAUGCUACAAUGGCCGGUACAAAGGGCUGCGAUACCGUAAGGUGGAGCGAAUCCCAAAAAGCCGGUCUCAGUUCGGAUUGGGGUCUGCAACUCGACCCCAUGAAGUCGGAGUCGCUAGUAAUCGCAGAUCAGCAACGCUGCGGUGAAUACGUUCCCGGGCCUUGUACACACCGC